UGUGAGAUCUUCGCCUUGGAACUUGACUUUGGAGGAGCUGGGUCUUGAAAUCUCAGACUGCUUCUCCAUGGACUGCCAUGUGAUGAUAACAACGAUGACACAGAAAGGUUUCAGCCUUGCUCCCCUUCCCCUAGCCCCUCUCCCAAAGAAAGAACCAUCUGUUUUGAAAAUGACCCAUGGAAAGUGGACAACUGGAAUAACCCAAGCCUCAUUCGCUAGAGCUUUGCAGAGUGCCCUCAUUAGGAACAAUCUGCUCAAGCCCAUAUUUCUCCCUGGAAGAGCAUCACACUGAGGAAACAGGAAUCAAUGGGGAAAGCAUCAACAGGACAAUCAACCAGUCCCCAGGAAAGCAAGAGAGCUAUGAAAACAACAGCUUGUAAAGCAUGUCAGGCCUGAGUCAGAUGCUGCUUUUGGACUCUUGUUGUCUGGCAUCUGUGUCUGGGAAUAAGAACUGUCUCCUGUUGUGUUCAAGGCACCAACUUUCACAUUUAGGAUAUAUUAAGGUACACAAGGAGAAUGUUUAAGGUCCAUAACUAUGCAGAGGAGAUAAUUAAUUUAAAAAUAUGAUCUAUGAAAUUAUAGGAAGGAGAUAAAGGUAACAUCAUGUCUUCCCCCCCCCCAAUCAUGUUUUCCAAUGUAUUGCUGUCCUCCUGAAUGAGAACUGACCUUGGAAAGAAAUAUUCCCCCACUUCCCCAAGGUUAAAACAGAGCAAACCGUGAUGUGCUGCUAAGAAAUAAAAUAUAGGUUGACUUUCUCUUCUAUGUUAAU
rnacentral:lncRNA from 1 species